rnacentral:rRNA from 1 species
GAUGAACGCUGGCGGCGUGCCUAAUACAUGCAAGUCGAGCGAACAGACGAGGAGCUUGCUCCUCUGACGUUAGCGGCGGACGGGUGAGUAAAACGUGGAUAACCUACCUAUAAGACUGGGAUAACUUCGGGAAACCGGAGCUAAUACCGGAUAACAUGUUGAACCGCAUGGUUCAACAGUGAAAGACGGUCUUGCUGUCACUUAUAGAUGGAUCCGCGCCUCAUUAGCUAGUUGGUAAGGUAACGGCUUACCAAGGCAACGAUGCGUAGCCGACCUGAGAGGGUGAUCGGCCACCCUGGAACUGAGACACGGUCCAGACUCCUACGGGAGGCAGCAGUAGGGAAUCUUCCGCAAUGGGCGAAAGCCUGACGGAGCAACGCCGCGUGAGUGAUGAAGGUCUUCGGAUCGUAAAACUCUGUUAUUAGGGAAGAACAAAUGUGUAAGUAACUAUGCACGUCUUGACGGUACCUAAUCAGAAGGCCACGGCUAACUACGUG